rnacentral:rRNA from 1 species
AUUGAACGCUGGCGGCAGGCCUAACACAUGCAAGUCGAGCGGAUGAAGGGAGCUUGCUCCUGGAUUCAGCGGCGGACGGGUGAGUAAUGCCUAGGAAUCUGCCUGGUAGUGGGGGAUAACGUCCGGAAACGGGCGCUAAUACCGCAUACGUCCUGAGGGAGAAAGUGGGGGAUCUUCGGACCUCACGCUAUCAGAUGAGCCUAGGUCGGAUUAGCUAGUUGGUGGGGUAAAGGCCUACCAAGGCGACGAUCCGUAACUGGUCUGAGGGGAUGAUCAGCCACACUGGAACUGAGACACGGUCCAGACUCCUACGGGAGGCAGCAGUGGGGAAUAUUGGACAAUGGGCGAAAGCCUGAUCCAGCCAUGCCGCGUGUGUGAAGAAGGUCUUCGGAUUGUAAAGCACUUUAAGUUGGGAGGAAGGGCAGUAAGUUAAUACCUUGCUGUUUUGACGUUACCAACAGAAUAAGCACCGGCUAACUUCGUG